GGGGAUAUAGCUCAGUGGUAGAGCAUCACUGCAGAUCGAGAGGUCCCUGGUUCAAAACCCGGUGUCCCCU